UGACAUUGUUUGAUUGUGAUUAACUCUUUUAUGUCCGGCUGCCAAAUUGGGUGAUAUACAAGAAAGUGUAUCGUUAAUAUGAAAAAUCUGACUUAUGAAAUGUUUUCUCGCAUAUUUUUUUAUAAAAUAAAUACCAUAUAUAUUGGACAUUGCCAAAUCCCAGAUAAUUAUCGUGUAUUGAAUUUUUGCAUUUUUAUAAUUAAUGUUUUCGACGCCGUCAGUUUCCGACCAUGUUCAUCUCCUCCCUUCCGUCCGGUGGCUCUCCUCAAACCGAGAGGCUUGCAGAGAGUUUAGAGAGAGGGAAGACGAGCUUCGAUGGAGUCAACCAUAUCCAAGACUCUCUCUCUCUCUCUCUAUCCUCAUCUCCCUCCUCCGUCAAUCCCUUCAUCUCCUCCGGCUCUCGCGAGGUUCCGCUUGCGGUGCGUUCCGAGCUUCGCUGCGGCUGACACGGUGGCGGCGGCGGCAGCGGCGGAGUUGACGGUGAGGAUAGGAAGGCGAAAUCGGCCGUGGAUGGAGCCGAGGAAGCCUCAGCCGUCUUCUCGGAUGCCAUAAUUCUCGACGUCGGAGGAAUGACUUGUGGGGGAUGUGCAGCGAGCUUGAAGAGAAUUCUGGAAAAUCAACCACAGGUAUCCGCCGCAAGGGUCAAUCUUACAACUGAGACAGCAAUUGUAUGGCUUGUUUCUGAAGCCAAAGCUAUACCUAAUUGGCAGGAGUUGGCGAUAAACACUUGCAAAAAACUCACACAAAUUGUGGCUUAAGUCUAAGCAUGGUUUGCUCUAAACAUUGGACAGCCACAAGUAUCUGCCACCAGCGUCAAUCUGACAACCAGGAUAGCAGUUGUACGGCCAGUAUCUGAAGCCAAGGAUGGCAAAAAGUGUUGGGAGAAACACUUGCAGAAGACUUGACAAAUUUUGCCUUUAUGUCUAACCCUCGACGGAUAGUUGGCAAGUUCUCUGGAUGCUCUCGUGGAUUUGGUUAUGAGAAGCAAGCAAUGGAUGAGGCUAUUGAGGAAAUGAAUGGACUUGGACGGGAGAAAUAUCAUUGAGGAAAAAGCUCAGCCUUGAGGUUCAGGUAGAGACUGAGAUGGUGAUUGCAGUCGUGAUUGUGGUCAUAAUUGUGGCCUCAGUUGGGACUCUGGUGGUGGACAUGGAGGUGGAGGUUCAGAGUGCUUUAAGUGUGACAAGCCUGGGCAUUUGCAAGGGAGUGUCCUCGUGAAGGGGGCUGGGGAGGUAGGU